rnacentral:tRNA from 3 species
GCCCACAUAGCUCAGUCGGUAGAGUGCUGCCUUGGUAAGGCAGAGGUCGGCGGUUCAAGUCCGCUUGUGGGCUCCA